rnacentral:lncRNA from 1 species
GCCCGCGGCUCCCACGCCAUGGCACGCCGCCGCCGCCGCCGCCACCAGCGCGAGCAGCAGCGCCGACCUCGCGGCCAUCUCGCCGCCGACCGACCGACCAACCUAGCCCCGCUCGCGCGCUCUUGUCCGCUGCUCACGCCCACCCACCCCGCUGGCCUGCGACUGGUACUAGUGGCGGCUCGCUCGCUACUCGCUGGCUAGUGCCGGUGCCAGUGCCAGAGCAGCGGCGCGCUCUUCAAGAAGUAGUGGCAGCGGUCGUGGGCGCGGCCUAAUAAUUGCGGCGUCCGAGAAAUAAUUGCCGGCGCGGUGGGGCGGGGGCGGAGGGGCAUCUUUUGUGGCACGCCGGUGAUAACGCCGCGUGGGCCACGGUGUCCGUUGACGGGGAAGGAAGGGAGGAGGAGGUGACGAGGCGUGGCCGGCGGGAAUGAAUGAAUGAUUGAUGGUGGCCAGUUCACGGCUGUCGGGGACGGGAAUCAGCCCAGCCAUGUGACGCGGCAUGUGGGAGUGUGGAGGGAAGAUGGUUCUGGCGCGGGUAGCGGAGGUGCGAGCCGCCUCGAACAUGUCGCGGUCCUUGCGGGGCUGCGCUCUGCGUCCACCGCCAUGUGCGCGCGGGAAACGACGGGCGUCGGGGUUUUACCUCGGAGGUGUGGCCUGGGCUGAGCUGCACAGGCUGCGUGCGCUAGGCACGUUGGUACACAAUCGAAGACGCGCCGCCGUUGAUUGGUAGUUGAGGCCUAGGCGCCUAGCACAUGAUCGGGUCGGUGGCAGUAGUCACAGAUGGCUCGCUUGAUUGAACAUCAGUGGUUCCACCCGGUCAUGCACGGGCACUUUAGAGCAACUUCAACGGCCGAUCCAAACGAACGAUGAAUUUGUUUAUUUUUUUAUUCGUUUGAAUCGAUCGUCCGGCCGGCGUCCGCUCUGUUUUAGAUUUAAAUCGAUAUUGCAUCCAACACGUCGGUUCAUUUCAUGCCUGCGAUCAACAUUUUCUUUUAAAAAGGCCCGCGGCUGAUCAUGCCAGCGACCAUGUCUCAUGCCGGCAUCAUGUCAAAACAUGACGCUCGCCAGCCGACCGGCACACAAAAAGGGUGGGGCUUGAGUUCGACCACGUCAUCGCAGCAUCCGUAGUCAUGCCAGCACACCUGCCGGCAUCCAAAAAAGAUGACGCUCGUCGCCAUAGAUCACUCCUCGUUGAACUUGAGCAUGUCGGCCUGCAUCUUCUCGAACCACGACCUCUUCCUUGGCGACACGAUGUUCAGAUCUGCCUUCAUGAUCUCCACACCGAUCAUCAUGAUCGCGAGAUCCACUUCUUUGGCCUUGGCCUUGAUGUUAGCGGCCUCGAUCUCUAGCAUCUUGGCUUGCUUCUCCGCCUCCAUCUCAAGCCUCCUUCUUCGGAUCUCCAAAAAGGCGUUCAUUUGCUCUUCUAUUUCUUGCCGGCACUUCUCCUCCCUUGAGUCCUUCUUGGUGAUCAUGCCCUCCACGGUUGCGAUUAAGGUGAUCGAUGUCGCAUCCCGCUUGUCCUCCUUCUUGAAGUUGGUCUUUCCCCGCGGCCGGGCCUUCUCGUCGUCCCCAACCUCCUUCAGGGCUUGCUUCCCACCACGCGACUUGAGGGCGGCAUAUUGCGCCUUGAACUUCUCCUCGUCUUUGAUCACCCUAAAGCAAUGGAAUUGAAGCACUUGCCAUUGUGUUGGACCUUGAAUGCCUCCAAAGCUUGAAAUGCCUACAAAUGUAUUUCAUGCAAGCAUAUUGGCAAAAUGAUAUGCAAACGCCCAAAAGCAUAAACUUGAUGCCACAAAAAAAGGGCGGCUUGCUAGCUUACCAUGUCUUGCACGCCGAUGCCGCUCACGGGGCGGGCCUUGACGCUCUCAAGAGUGGCACAAAACUUGUUGCAUUCUUGUUGGAUCAUCCUCCAACAAUUUGAAAUGGACACCCACCCGCGGGCCUUACUAUUUGGUAUGGCGGAAACUUCUUACGCUUAUGGAACUCAUGGUGAACACGAAUUUAAUAGGUUGAAUGCUUUUGUUCGGCGCCCGUCUUGGGGUCUUGCCCAAUGUCUCUCCAACACUCGCAAAGAAGCUUGUCCUCGACCGUCGUGUAUGCCUUGGUCCGCUUGCUCUUGCGCUUCGGCUUCGUCCCUUCGGCUUGGUUGGCGAGCUCGUCCUCAAACAAAGGCUCCGCUUCGAUGUCGCACUCGUCCUCUUCCUCUAGCCCGUAGUCCUCCGGGAACUCAUGCAUCUUCUCGAACUCAUGGUCCAUCACUCAUGAAGGCGACCUAAUUUUCAUUGUAGCCUCGGCCAUCCUGGCUUUGUGUCUCGUCGGGAUCGAAGCCAGCAGCCUGCGCACCACCCUCGAAGAUCAUGUUCUGCAUGUAGUCGUCGUCGUCCACAGCCGGCAUUCCGUCGAACAGGUUGCACGUGCCCGGCAGCUGGUCGACCGGCGUCUCUCGCGCCUCCGGCUGACGAGCCAGCGACCACCGGUGUGGCGUUGAGGUCGAUGGUCGUGGGCGCGGGCGUGGAAGGCGUGACCACGCUCACCUCGGGCGAGCACUCACCGAGAGACGGGGGGCUGGGGGUAGACGUGGAAGCCGGGCACCAGGUUGCAAGCCGACGCAUCGGGCAGCACCGUCCGAGGGAAGGCGGAUGAAUCGGUGCUGACCACGGCGGCCACGGCGGUGUUGACGAGGUCAUGCUGGCUAGGGUUUAACCCCAGCAUGCAGAGCGCCUCCCUCGUUGCCGCCGCAACGCGGGCGUUGGUGACCCGCUGCUGCGCGGCGGCCGCCGCGAUGGCUUCAUCCCUCGCGUUCGCCGCGUGCCUCUGGUCCUUCCUCUUGGCCGACUCCUUUGCCCGUUGUUCGGGCGUCAGCGCCUUCUUCGGCUUCGGCGUGGCGGCCUUACGGGGGGCGCGAGGCUUGCCUUUGUCGGAUGAGGCGAGGGAGGCGAGGCCGGCGGCGGCGGCGAGGUCGAGGUCGUCGUCCAUGGCGGGCGUGGGGCGGGAGCGCGCGCGGGCGGGACGGUUUUUGGGGGAAAUAAGGGUAAAUGGUGGUGGAUGCCACCGACCGGCGGGCCAUGGCAGAGGAGUAGGCGCGCGCGCGUCCGUCUCGUGCCCGCGCCGACGCAAAUCCGGCUUAAAAUUAGGCCGGCAAUGGAUCGCCAAGCGGACGCGCGUUCGUUUGGCUCGGCGUGUUGGGCCGACUUUUGUGUCCGCGCCGACCCAAACGGACGAUGACGGACGAAAUGGAUCGUCACAUUAAAGUUGCUCUUAUGUUAUGGUUGGUGAUAAAAUAGACAAAUCUGGUCCUUUAUUACAAAUUUGCUCUCUCAUCCGUCCCGCACAGGUGAGAACCAAUCAGACACAACUAUUUUGAGCCCCGUGCUUAAAUGAGCCUGCCUGAGCAAUAAAAUCGACGUUUCAAGAAUGGAAAUUGACAACAUCUUAAAAAAGGCGUUAAAUUUUAUCAAAAAAGGAAUUUUUCUAUUUUUUCGAAUUUAUUUUCAGCCAAGCUCAUUUGAGCUCGGCAGCAGGAGGAUACGUCUCCCGUAUACGUGAUUCAACUAAACCGGGUGAAAUUCGUGCAAACAAUACGGAUUUCAGUAAAGUUUGGAUAUAAUCUAUAUGAAACAAACGAUAUUUCGACCAUUUAAAUAAAAACUAAUAUAAAAAUAGUUUGUAUCUCAAGGGGCACGGGGAGCGAGGACGGCGAUACCAACAUUCAACUUAGGGCAUCUCCAACAGUUUGUUGAUUAGCUUGUUAAUAAAAUAUGUCAUGUCAUCAAUCAACAUCUUAACAUAUAACUACUUCAAUAAGUUAUAUCUAGUUUGCCGUCCGCUCUUCGCUGUCUGCCUUGGGGCGCCGUGGCGAGCGGGGUUCGAAGGCUCCGAUGCCUCCUCGCCGCUCUCGUCGAGGAUGAUGACGUCGUCCUCUUCGAGGCCGCGGCGACGGGCAGCAAUCUCCUCCAGGACGCAACGCUAGCGUUUCAUCUCCUUCCGACGUAGUCGUCCCGUGCCCAUUCAAUGAUGGUGGCCAGUUCGGGGAGGAGAACGUUCACGUGGCGGGGUCGUCCUCAUGCUAGUGGCAGAGCCAAGGUAUAAGCAUUGGGUUCAAAUGAACCCAAGAGAUUUUAACUCGUACGCGUGUGUAGGUGCUUAUUUGUCUUCAUGAACCCAUUAAAAAAUACGUGGCUGACCCCAUCAAUCGAAAGGUUGCCAUGUGAACAACUAAAUAAAGGGCACAAAAGUGAAAAGCCUACGGGAGUCCUUGCCAGCCCUAAAUCGUGAUUAGCAGCCCCUGUUGAUUAGUCGCGUACUAGCGUUUUGUCGCACGCACGCACGCCCUUCGUUUUGUAAUUCGCAUCUGAUCUCCCCUCUCAUCAGUUCUGCUGGUGUUCCUCGGUGCCUCGCCGCCUCGGCGGUCGGCCGUGGUACGCCAGUGGCAAGCAAACCGCUACAGAUCGACAGCACAACAGUUGAAACCUAAAAUUUAAGGUAAUUAGAUCAAAAUUGCUUCAUAUGCUCUGUCUAGCCCAAUAGCCUAGUAACAGUGAUUUUUUCCCAAGUUUUCUAUUUGUUUUUUGAUUGAUCUAGGCUAUGGUAUUUUUCAAACAGAACUCGGUCACUGGAUUCAAUAUUGAUACAAGCACAUCAAGAUCACCCAUCCAGAUCUUGCUUCUUUCAAAGAGAAUUCGAUCACCAGAUAGUGAAGCUAGAUAAGUUUUAUCUAGAUGGCUUUGAUUACAAAUAAAAUAGAAUGAUCUUAGUCCCGAACUUCGCACUUACAUUGACAAUGUGUUAGCAGAUGAAAGAUUUGCCAAUUUGGCUGAAAUUGGUGAUCUUGCUAAAGUAAUGGUGCAAACAAAUAAGCAUGUAACGUUUCCUUUGGUAUAUCACAUUUUACAGCUAAUACUAAUAUUGAGAGAUUUUCAGUUAUGAAUGUUAAAAACAAGUCGUGCUACAAAAUAGGUGAUCAUGUCACGAGUGUUUAAUUUGCUAUGGAGAAAGAUAUUUUUUGACCAUUAGUAAUGAUGCAGUGCUUAAUCUUUUUAAGGCAGAGAAAUAUUGGAAGGGGACACUCUAAAAUGUGGUUGACUUUAUAAAAUUCUUUCGCUUUGUAGUGCUUAUUGUAAACCCGUCUUACUAGCUUGCCGUUUUUUCAAUGUUCCAGUAAGCUGAGAAGCUACACCUGAAGUUACAACAUUAUUUGAUACUACUCUAUUUAUAAUAUGUAAACAAGUUAGUUCGUAAUUUUAUUGAACAUGUAUGUCUUACACUCUUCAGUUUUUAAUGCAACACAAUAUGUGAUAUCGGAUACCAUGUUUUUAUUCAUUAUGUUGUUUUUGGGUGCUAUAAUUUUGUUGUAAGAUGAUUUAUAAUUGACUUUACAUAAACAUAUUUGUAUCAAGUUCUCACAAUGAGUCAUGGGGUAAACACAAUGACCAAUUUUUUUGGCUCCGCCCCUGCCUCCGGGGGGAAUCAGCUCAGCCAUGUGACGCGGCAUGUGGGAGUGUGGACUCUGUGGAGGGAAGCUGGUUCUGACGCGGAUAGCGGAGGUACGAGCCUCGAACAUGGCAGCGCCCAACAUGUGCGCGCGGUUUACCUCGGAGCUGUGGCCUGGGCUGGGGCUCUGAGCUGCACCGGCACCGGUCGGUGCUGCGUGCGCUAGGCACGUUGGUACAGGUGGAAGACGCGCUGCCGUUGAUUGGCAGUUGAGACCUCGCUUGAUUGACCGAACAUCACUAGUUCCAUUCCACCCGGGCAGUUUCAUGGCAUGAUUGGUGAGAAGACGGACAAAUCUGUUUUUUUUUUUUUGAAACUUUACGACAUCUCCAACACUGACCUGUAAAUUUGGUACCGUAUCCGUCUGCGGACACGUAUGCGGGUGCCGGCCCGGCCAAUGUUACUGGUGUGCAUUUCAAACGUGGUUCGACUAAACAUGUGCGAAAUCCGUGCAAACGCUACAGAUUUUAUUAAAGUUCGGAUAUAAUUUACAUAAAACGGAUGAUGUUUCAACCGUUUAAGUAAAAAGUGUAUAUAAAUAGUUUGUGUGCCGAGGGGCCGAAGAGAAAACGCGGCGGCGCCGACGUUCGCCCGCCGACGCAUUGAACCAGGACUUCGGCAUCGCCGCUGGGAACGAUGACGGGGAGGGGAAGGAGGAGAGGGUCGGUGCUUGGGGAAUGGGAGGAGGAGAGGACCGAUGCGGUGGGGGGGGGGGGGGGGAGCGCGGCUCUAUGCAUCGCCAACGGAAGCCUUAAAUAGUCGCGGCCAGGCUAGACGAAGGGGCAUCAUCCCGCUUCAAUGCGGCAUGGGCCAAGCAAACCUCGAACAUGGCAAGAGCUAACCUGUCGCAGUUUGUGCGCACCUGCGUUUUGUACCCACCGCCAUGCACCGCUAUACACCACAAAGCAUCGAGAAGGACCUUAGCUCCUAGGAUGAUUUUAGGCACUUCUGGUGCCCCACGGCAUACAAAUACUUAGAAUGUCAUAUACUCCCUUUGUCUCGGUGCAUAAGUCAUCUUAUGAAAAUUAAAUAAUUUUAAAAUAUUUAGACACGGUUCAUUAACUACCACCUCGUUUAUUGUUUUUUGAAAUAAUUAAAACAAUUAGUCAAUAAGAGACGUGAGACAUUUAUGUUUUUAAUGACUUGAGACUACCUAACACAGCAUGCAGUGGUUAGUUCUUGUAUGUAAUGAUAUUAAUUAGCAAAUAAACAUUAAAUUCUCUCAUUUUUUUAAUAUUGAUCACAGUGCACAACGUAAGAUGACUUAUAAACCAAAACGAAGAGAGUAGGCAAAAACCUUAUGUGACAAAGCAAUCAAGAAAAAGAGAGAGCAUUUUGAUGACCUUAGGUUAAAUAAUGCCAAGCGUGCGGUGCGAACCGAUGAAGAAUGCCUAUUAACCAAUGCAUGAAAGAGUUUAGUUUCUAAACAAUUAAAUGACGAGAGUUUAGCCACAAAAGCUAAACACCUAUUUAAUGAAAAGAUAAGUUGUGAGCCUUUUAAUGCACUCAGUACCUCAUCCAAGCACUCAAAGAGGCCUUAUGGCCGAAAGUACCUUUCUAUACCUGAGCUCAAAUACUCCUGAUGUGAACAGUAAGUAAAAAAAAUCAAACAAAAAAAUCAACUCCACUUUGAACCUCGGUUUGCAUCCACGUAGGGUUGGUACCCUUCCAUUAAAGAUUGCUGCCAACACUACCAACUCUAUGAAAAAGGGCACAUUGUGACACUUGCUCUAAGGAGCAUAGGCAUGUGCUUGAGUUAGUGCGAACGACUUACAUACAAAGAAAUUUUUGAUGGUGGUGAGCUGUCUAAGGGCAACUCUAACGGACCGAUCCAAACGGACGUGAUUUUGUUUGCUUUUUGUUCGUUUGGAUCGAUCCAACAGACAUGAAUGUCCCUUUCGCGUUUGGGUUGACGCAUGCGUCCAACGCUCGCGGGUCAAUUUUUGUCAUGUAAAAAAAAUAUACGAAAAUAAUAAACAUGCAUAAUUAAAUAUUAAAAGCUGACCACGAAAGCCGGCGAGAGUUCACUCGUCCGCAUUACAUUAAUUAAACAUAAAAAAAACCUAAAACUACGAGGCAGCCCUAGGCGGGGGCGACGGCGUCGUUAGGGACGGUGAGAUCGACCAGCAUAGGCGCAGGGCCGGCCCAGGGAAACGUCGCGUUCUAGAGCGCAGCUGCCUGCGCCUCCGUCGUCUGUCACGUCGGCGUGGGUUGUGCUCGUGGCGGCAGCAGCGCAGCAGCAGGGCGCGCUCCUCCUCCUCCAUCUCCCGUCGUUCCUUCUCCGCCUCCUUCUCCAGCUCCAUCAGCCGAAGGCCUUCGGCGCGCUCCGCCCGCAGGUGCUCCGUCCACCAGUGCUCGAGGUAGGCUUGCUCUUGCUGCGGUGUCACACCCAACCAUAUGGGCGACGCAUUGACAAACCCGCUGACGACGUCGUUCCACUGGUAGACCUCCCGCGGCUCUGUGGGCUCGGGCUUCGGCGGAGGUGGCACGACGCAGUUGCCGGUGGCCGACAGCGCGAUGGCCUCCGCGAGCUGGUGGUGGUACGCUGCCUCCUCGUCGGCCCUGCGCAGCUCUUCCUCCUCGCUGUCAUGGAGAACAACUGCCAGCACCGCCUGGUAGGAGGCCUCAACAUCCUGGUCCUCGUCGCUGACGACAGGAGGGGCCAGCGGAGGGCCUCUUGGCUGCACGUCGCGCACGCCACGACGACGCUGCUCCUCGUGCUCCACCGCGAACCACAACUCCCAGUUGGGGGAGUCGGUCGCGUAUGCAGGGUUUUGUCGCUGCUCCGGCGUCAGCAGACACCGACGGCGGCUCACCUCGUUCGCGUGCACACGCGCCGACCGCGACACAACUGACACCGGGAUCCUCUCCGGAUCCAGAUGCCAGUGGUGCCGCAGGGUGACAUCGGGGUAAGGCAGCGGCACGCGGUGCUCCCAGUGCCGCCGCGCUUGAUGCACCGGAACGCUCACACGCUAGCGAGGCCGACGGGAAGAUGCCGGCAUGGAGAUGUUGGAAUUAUGCCCUAGAGGCAAUAAUAAAUAUAGUUAUUAUUAUAAUUCCUGUAUCAAGAUAAUCGUUUAUUAUUCAUGCUAUAAUUGUAUUGAAUGAAGACUCAUUUACAUGUGUGGAUACAUAGACAAAACACCGUCCCUAGCAAGCCUCUAGUUGGCUAGCCAGUUGAUCAAAGAUAGUCAGUGUCUUCUGAUUAUGAACAAGGUGUUGUUGCUUGAUAACUGGAUCACGUCAUUAGGAGAAUCACGUGAUGGACUAGACCCAAACUAAUAGACGUAGCAUGUUGAUCGUGUCAUUUUGUUGCUAUUGUUUUCUGCGUGUCAAGUAUUUGUUCCUAUGACCAUGAGAUCAUAUAACUCACUGACACCGGAGGAAUACUUUGUGUGUAUCAAACGUCGCAACGUAACUGGGUGACUAUAAAGAUGCUCUACAUGUAUCUCCGAAGGUGUUAGUUGAGUUAGUAUGGAUCAAGACUGGGACUUGUCACUCCGUGUGACGGAGAGGUAUCUCGGGGCCCACUCGGUAAUACAACAUCACACACAAGCCUUGCAAGCAAUGUAACUUAGUGUAAGUUGCGGGAUCUUGUAUUACGGAACGAGUAAAGAGACUUGCCGGUAAACGAGAUUGAAAUAGGUAUGCGGAUACUGACGAUCGAAUCUCGGGCAAGUAACAUACCGAAGGACAAAGGGAAUGAUAUACGGGAUUAUAUGAAUCCUUAGCACUGAGGUUCAAACGAUAAGAUCUUCGUAGAAUAUGUAGGAUCCAAUAUGGGCAUCCAGGUCCCGCUAUUGGAUAUUGACCGAGGAGUCUCUCGGGUCAUGUCUACAUGGUUCUCGAACCCGCAGGGUCUGCACACUUAAGGUUCGACGUUGUUUUAUGCGUAUUUGAGUUAUAUGGUUGGUUACCGAAUGUUGUUCGGAGUCCCGGAUGAGAUCACAGACGUCACGAGGGUUUCGGGAAUGGUCCGGAAACGAAGAUUGAUAUAUAGGAUGACCUCAUUUGAUUACCGGAAGGUUUUCGGAGUUACCGAGAAUGUACCGGGAAUGACGAAUGGGUCCGGGAGGUCGACGGGGGGGGGGGGGGGCGAACCCACCCCCGGGGAAGCCCAUAGGCCAUAAGGGUGGCGCACCAGCCCUUAGUGGGCUGGUGGGACAGCCCAAAAGGGCCCUAUGCGCCAUACAAAGGAAAAUCAAAGAGAAAGAAAAAAAAAGAGGGAGGUGGGAAGGAAGGGAAGGACUCCCACCCACCAAACCAAGUCCAACUCGGUUUGGGGGGGGAGCCUUCCCCCCUUGGACUCGGCCGACCCCCUUGGGGCUCCUUGAGCCCCAAGGUAAGGUCCCCUCCCUCCCACCUAUAUAUACGGAGGUAUUGGGGCUGAUUUGAGACGAUUUUUCCACGGCAGCCCGACCACAUACCUCCACGGUUUUUCCUCUAGAUCGCGUUUCUGCGGAGCUCGGGCGGAGCCCUGCUGAGACAAGGUCAUCACCAACCUCCGGAGCGCCGUCACGCUGCCGGAGAACUCUUCUACCUCUCCGUCUCUCUUGCUGGAUCAAGAAGGCCGAGAUCAUCGCCGAGCUGUACGUGUGCUGAACGCGGAGGUGCCGUCCGUUCGGUACUAGAUCGUGGGACUGAUCGCGGGAUUGUUCGCGGGGCGGAUCGAGGAACGUGAGGACGUUCCACUACAUCAACCGCGUUCACUAACGCUUCUGCUGUACGAUCUACAAGGGUACGUAGAUCACUCAUCCCCUCUCGUAGAUGGACAUUACCAUGAUAGGUCUUCGUGCGCGUAGGAAAUUUUUUGUUUCCCAUGCGACGUUCCCCAACAGGAGAUGGCGCGGGGGUAGAGCGGGGCCUUGCCCUUGGACGGGAGGGAACCAGAAGACGCCAGCGUGGAGAUGGCGCGGGGUAGAGUGGGGCCUUGCCCUUGAGCAGGAGGGAGCCGGUCAUGGUGCUAGGGUUUGGUCGGCGAAAAGGUGGCGAGAUGGGGACAGGUGGAUUCUAGAAGCAGAUGAGGCGGAACCCACAGUACGUUCGGAUUAAAAAAGGCCGACCGCGGUCACUGACGCGUGAGCCCGAAAAGGACGAUCGUCAUAAAUAAUGUUGACCGCGGUGGUUGGGAGCGGACAUCGAGAGGAUGCGUGCGUCCGCGCCGACGCAUUUCAUUCCUAAAUUUGGACCGGAAAAUGGAUCGGUGCGAACGCGCAGCGGAGGUGUUUUGAAAAUGGAUCGGCGCGUUGGGGCAUCCAUUUUGUUCGCGUCGACCCCAAACGGAGUUGCUCUAAGGCCCAGUCUGUGCAAACAAACAGAUCUGGGUGCGAAUCACAGCAUCCAAUCAUGUCACACACACACACAAUAAUGUGAAACUGAGCUACAGGACCAGACCCUUCAGGAUGUUCUUCCAACACACUCUUCGCCGCAUCAGAUUCUCAAAACGAAUAUGCUGCUGGCGUCCACUGCUUAACAAGCACUGCUAACGGCCACACCAAUGGAAAAUAAACUCACCACUAGAAGGAGAGCACGAAGAUGGACGGAAGAGCCAGAUACAAGCAGACCAGCAGGGAGAGCAGAACCCUGGGGCUGCUCGAGGUGGCCGAACCAGCCGCCAGGUUGCCGCUCGAGCUGCCAGAGCCAGCUUGGGUGCUGCCAGAAGUGACCGUGCCAUCUUUCGAGCCGGGCCCCGACGCCUGCAGCAUGUUCUUGAACCAGUAGGCCGAGUCCUUUGGGUACCGCUUGAGGGUGGUGAAGUCGACGUACACGAUGCCGAACUUGGAGGUGUAGCCCGACAGCCACUCGAAGUUGUCGAGGAGGGACCAGGCGAAGUAGCCGACCACGUUCGCGCCGUCGUCGAUCGCCUUCUUCAGCUCGGCGAGGUAGGUCUUGUAGAACUCGACCCUCGAGGCGUCGUGCAGGAACUCCUCGCGGGUCAGGUUCGCGGGUUGAUCCAUUCCUGGCAUGCCACCAUAGCGCGCCGUGAUUCGUAUUAUGUAUGUACAUUUGUUUUUCGACGGGCAUUGGAUGUGGAACUUGUUUAUUUCAAGUUAAAGAAAAGGAGGAUAAGGCCGUUUCGAAUACCGUUUUCGGAUAUAAUGAUCGUCGGGUUGUUGUACUUCUCCCUUAUGUAGUUCACACAUCCAUACAUGCCUGUUGGGACGAUGUAAAGCCAAUUGGAGUUCGCCUGCACACAUUGACACACAGCCAGAUACACGCGUGUUAGUUUCGCACUCAUCAAAUCUUGUUUUAAUGGCUGAAGAAACCGCAAUGUGAUGUUGCAAGAGGAAACAGCUAUAUGUACCUUCUGUCCAAUCGGUACGCCAUUUCGCUGAACUGCAGAUUUAAAGGGGAAGGUGAAAAGUGACUUAUUUUGAGUAACCGCAUUGAUUUGUAUUUAUAAAAACUGAAUCAUACUAAAGUUGACGGACAACUCACAUAUAUAUUGAACAUGCCAGUCAGAUGAGUAGCUUGUUGGUGGUUGCUGGAGCGUUGGUUGGUCUGCCAUGUAGGUCGCUGUAUACUGAUUUAUCCCAAUGUAAUCUACAGAGCCCUUGACCAACUUAGAUUGUUCAGGUGUGAAACUAGGUAACCUCUCUUUUACUAUAUCUUGCAUGGUCUUCGGGUAUUGACCAUUUAGUAGUGGAUCAAGAAACCUGAAUUUCCGGAAGAAAAUUUGUCAAUAAAGGAUAACUGUGUCAAAUGAAAACCUGAAGUUUUGUGACGCAUUACUGCCAUGGUCUUACCAACCAACAUGGAAGUCCCUGGCCCUUUGGGCUGCUGCUUUGUCGGCAGGUGAGUCGGUAGCAGCAUCAUACCAGUUGAAGUCCAAAACUAUCCCAACUUUGCCUUUCUGACUUGCCUAAAUUUUGGUUGAAGUCAGAUGACAGGAUCGUACACAGCAAUACAAAUACAUAUGUGACAUGGUUGCCUCAAUACUUGUUUUUCCGCUACGCAUGCACAUAACAUAUGAUAUAUUCCAGUUGUUCCCAAGUGCAAGUGAGUUCCCACACUAUUUGUUAUAUUCACAUAUUAGAAGCACAUUAUUUUAGUAGGCAAAAAUGUUUUCGCUAAUUUCGCACCAUAUACAAACCAUAUGGGAAAGCAAAAGAAUUUCAAACUUGCAGCCGAAUAUCCUUCUUUGAAAAAAUAAAUGUUGAUAAGAAACUUUAACCACUUGGCAUAGCAUGGAUUGUUUUUUGCAAGAUAUUGAAUUGAAUUCCAUUCAGAAACAAAUUCAAGAAAACACCCAGAACUUUAGGCUGAAAAUUAGGCUUAUUAUUGUGUACAUACAACUACCAUGUUACUAACCUGGUACUUAUUGCGGUAUCUCGCAACUGCAGUAGCAUGACAUAAGAGAAUGUUAUGGACAACAGUGUAAGGCUCUGUUGCUGAGUUCCCACCGGCAGCGCAUUUGGUGCACCUGUUAGGGGGGUUCGUUCCAGUAUCAAAGCCAAGUGCUGCUACUAUCCUUGGCUCAUUGAAUGUGAACCAGUUCUUAAUUCGAUCGCCAUAAGUCUUGAAACAAAAUUCAGCAUAGUCUGCAAAUAUGUUCCUACAAAAGAAGAUCGAGAAACUUUUUAAUGCUCCCUGACCCUUGUAAAAACUGUCAUAACUCAUAAGCAUAGAAGUUACUUUCUUACAUGUAUCAACAAUUAUACACAGAAAUUACAGAUAGCAUAAUGUAGAUGGUUUAUCUAUCUUAUAUUGGUAUGUUCACAAUGAAAAGUGAAAACUCGGUCAUGGUCAAGAAUUGUACUUAUUAAGCUGUUUCUGCUCUUAUGGAAUCUUCAAAGAGAAUACCUUUCAUCUUAUCCUGUGUUAGAAAAAAUGAUGUCUAGACUAAAUAUUUAAAAUGUUGGAAGGUCCAUAUGUAUUUUAUCAAUGUGUACUUACUCCAAAAUGGCAAGGCAAUACCAAUAGUCAGAAGUGCGUGUGCGAAAAGGGAGAAGUAAUAUUUAGUGUGACUUACACGAUCUUUGGGCUUAAGAAGCCAUCAUACUUCUUCUGAAGUGCAAGAGGGAUAUCAUAGUGGUUGAGAUUGACAUAAGGAGUGAGCCCUGCUCAGUUUUGACAGAAACAUUAAGACCCGAAUAUAAUGUACUUCAGUUCACAUGAACACUUGAAGGAAUGAAUUACUCCGUUUGAUAUUUUGAUGCCGUCGUACCUUGCUUAAUGACAUAGUCUAUCAGAUUGUUGUAAUACGUCACACCUUCUUUGUUGACUUUCCCCUCCCCAUCUGAAUCAAACCAAAAUGCAUCAGUGAAACAAACAGAGAAGCUGCCCGGGUAGAUGCAGUAGGCAGAGUCAGAGUUUAUGUACUACUCCUACCUGGGAAGAUCCUGGACCAUGAGAUUGAAAACCGAUACGCGUCGAAAUUCAGGCUUUUCAGGAGAUCAACAUCUUCCUGCAGUGCCACAACAGCAUAAAAAAAUCGAGUCCGACAGAAUCCAUUUUUCGCUCGGGAUGAUUUUCUUUUUUCAUUACAACAGAUUUCUGCGGCUCCCAAAGCUAUGGUAAUAUGAAAUUGAAGUAAAAAAAUGGACUUGAACCUGGAUUAUCAUGCACUACUUCCUACAGUACUACCUUGUAGCGAUGGUACUCGUCCGUGGCGACAUCUGCGUUGGCGUUCUCCGCAAUGUUCCCUGUCGGCGGCAGCAGAGAGCAGGGCCAGGUGUUAGCUUCCGCGAAUUUCGUUGCCAAUCGCACUGGUAGUAACAUAAUGAUGCGGGAUCUAGCUUAGCAGCCGGUGGAGCAGGAGAAGAAGGAGCGGGUUACCGGGGGUGUGGACGAAGGGGUCCCAGAUGGAGGGCCCGCGGCCGCCGCCGGUGGCCAUGCCCUCGACCUGGAACGCCGAAGUGGCCGUCCCGAAGACGAAGCCCUUGGGGAACGCCGCCCGGCUCAGCCCGCCCGUGCCCGUCGCGGCGCGCGCGCAUCCGAGCAGCGCGGCGGCGGCCAGCAGCAGCAGCAGACGCGGCGGCGCCAUCCGAGCUGCUCAGCUAGGCCGCAGGUACCAAGCGAGCAGCGGCAGCGGCAGGGGCUCGGCCUCACUCACUCGCUCUCGCAGGUGGAAGUGGCCGGUGAAAAAAGUGAGCGCCUUUUCGGUGGCGCAUGUGACGCGAUCCAGUUCUUUUAGCCGGUGGUCGGAGCACGACAAGCCUCGUCCCGCUCGCUCGCUCUCGUACCCUACUGGACUGGGUGGGAGUGACAGUGAGCGCUUUCUGACCGUGCCGUGGUGGUGUGAUCCCGAUUUUUCGCCGGUGGUCGGACGGGGUUGGAUCGGACUGGAUUGGGACGGGGAUGAGUGUGUGUGCGCGCACGCCGACGGUGAUGCGAUCUGGCUCGGCGGUCCCGCCCAUCGGCACGCCAGCUGCGCAGCAGGGCAGCAGAGCGGUAGAAAUCCGCGGGCCUCGCUCCUCGAAUCGCGACGACUCGAGCGCGCUGUCAUCAUGCAAACGAUUAGAGCAUCUUCAGUGGGUGGAUGACCAACUUAGAGCUAACUUCAACGGGCCGACCGAAAAUUCCUGAAAAGUCAACCCUACGCGAUGACCCAAACGGACGAAUCAUGCAUUUUUUUUAUUUUAUUCGUACUUGUGACGUAUUUCAGGCAUAAAUUUGGACAUCGCUUGCGUCGACGCGGACACACAACGUACGCGCAUGAAGCCCGCCCUCGUACUCCCCUGGUCCGUCAAAGCGGUGUAGACACACCGCGGACGUGCGUGACGCUCGCCCUUGUACUCCCCUCGUCCGUCGGUCGAUGGCACAUUGGCCAUUUCCCCUUCCUUCCAUCGACAACCAACACAUCCGGUCACCCCACCCACCGCCGCCGCCGCCCAGGCCGGUUGCCCACACCCACACCUCACCCAGCAGCACGCCACUUUUCGAUGACCCCCAACAUCGGCGUUUGGUGGACCGUUUUUGCCGCCAUUGCAGCAUCCCGACGUCAACGCUGCCACACCCUUGCCUUCCCUGCCGGCAGCACGCAAGCGCGACUAGCUCGCUCGUCGAACGUCGCCACGUUCGCCUUCACGCCUCCAGGUCUGCUACAUGGUCUCCAAGAGGCGCGAGGCUCUUCACCGGCCGGCUUCUUCCAGGACGGUCGCGAGGUGUUCGACGGUUUGGCCCCAAGGUACAAAUGGACUCUUGUGACGAGUACUUUUUCCACAAUUUCAUUUGCGAUUCGGAUGAUUCUUCAUCCGAUGUGAGGAGAUUGUUGUUGUUGCUUUGGUCGUCCAUGACCACAUGAGUACGCAGCGGCCGAUGUUUAGGGGCUCGAUCCGGAGGCAUACUCCGGCAUUGAAUCGCAACCGAUAGAGCGGCCAUUACUUACUCUGGCAGGACUACUUCCAGUCCCCUAACCCGCUUUUCAAACACCACCUAUUCCAACACCGUUUUCGGAUGACUAGACAUGUGUUCGUCCGUAUCCGGGAGGGGGGUGGCAUAUGAUAAGUAUUUCAAGUGUAAUGAGAAUGCCCUCGAAAAGAUUGAUUUCUCCUCUUAUCAAAAAUGCAUUGCAGCUAUUCGGAUGCUUGCAUAUGGAGUAUCCGAUGAUCUCAUUAAUGAGUAUGCCCGAAUAAGCGAGUCCACUUGCCUAGAAUGAGUGUCCGCUCUCUGUUCGUUGGUAUGUCUCAACUGGACGAGACAACGUACUAUGACGUGUACAUGUAGAUGUUUAAGAUGACCCAUGACAGAGUUGAAGGUUGUUGGGGGUACUGGCAAGUGGAUGACUUGGAGUCCACACAUUUGGGCACAUACACCCAACAACCAGAUUUGUACAACGGCCAGCAGAAGCAAGAGGGGGAGGACGGCGACAAUUUUGAUCCAAAUGAAUUUGUUGUCAAUCCAAAGAAGAAUGGUGGAGGAGAAAACUUUAGCAUAAGAGAGAUUGUUGUGUGAUUCGUGGUUGACCACCAGCAUCGAUGUGCCCAUGGCAAGGAGCAAAAGGGCGCAACAUUUUGGGCCAACAUUCAUAAUUGGUUCCAUGAGCACAAGCAUUUCAAACGCUACACCGACGAACUAAUCCGCAACCGUGGGGUAAAGUGGAUCAACCAUCGAUGGUACAUCAUUCAAGAGACUGUGUCCAAGUAUUCCGACCACUUGAAGCAACUGACCAGUCGGUGUCCAAGUGGUGCACACAUCACCGAUCAAGUAAGUUGUUAUGUGUGUUGGUCAUUUGGUUGGAUGCAACUUGAAGACAAUGUUUUUCUUUGUAUUCUUCUCGUGCGUGCAACUUGUUCUUGAAGGCGGAGAAGAAGAAUUUUGUCCUCAUGCAUUGAUGGCUGAAGUUGAGUGGGCAACCUGUCACGCCCAAGAUGCGAGCCUAUCCUUAAUUUGGCACGAAGGCCUCGUCAGGGGUAGAAGCGCAUCUCGUCGUGUCGCAAGAAUGGAUAUCGUUACAAGUACAUGUACUGAAAAGAAGAGAUAUAUUUAGAAUUGGCUUACACUCGCCACAAGCUACAUCAGAGUCACAUCAGUACAUUACAUAAUCAUCAAGAGUAAGAGCAGGGUCCGACUACGGACGAAAAACAAACGAGAAAAAUAAGAACGACGUCCAUCCUUGCUAUCCCAGGCUGCCGGCCUGGAACCCGUCCUAGAUCGAUGAUGAUGAAGAAGAAGAAGCAAAUCCAAAUAAACAAUCAACGCGCUCGCGUCAAGUAACCUUUACCUGUACCUGCAACUGGUGUUGUAGUAAUCUGUGAGCCACAGGGGACUCAGCAAUCCCAUUUCCAAAGGUAUCAAGACUAGCAAAGCUUGAUGGGUGAGGUAUGGUUAAGUGGUGAGGUUGCAGCAGCGGCUAAGCAUAUAUAUAUGGUGGCUAACUUACGAGUACAAGAAAUAAGAGAGGGAAGAUCUACGCAUAACGGACGUGAACUACUGAUGAUCAAAAGAAUGAUCCUGAACACCUACCUACGUGAGACAUAACCCCACCGUGUCCUCGAUCGGAGAAGGAACUCACGAAAGAGACAGUCACGGUUACGCACACAGUUGGCAUGUUUUAAUUAAGUUACUUCAAGUUAUCUAGAACCAGUGUUAAACAAAGUUUCCACGUUGCCACAUAACCGCGGGCACGGCUUUCCGAAAAGAUUUAACCCUGCAGGGGUGCUCCAACUAGUCCAUCACAAAUUACCACAAGCCGCAUAGAAAUCCUCAAUCACGAAGCUCGCGAUCUCGUCGGAUUCCCUAGUGGAAAACCUCAACUCUGAGAUUACCCAAAGCAUCACCGGAAUCCCGAUGCACAAGAUAUCUCGUCAAAGGUAAAACUAAUCCAGCAAGGUCGCCCGACGUGUCGACGAUCCCGAUAGGAGUCGCGUACCUCRUUCUCAGGACAUGACGGAUGAGCUAGACGUCGGGAUCGCUAAACCUCCGGGUGACCAGAGGGGCGCCGGACAUCGCUCAGGUGGGACCAACACUCAUGAGGAGCACUGGCCCGGGGGUUGAUUAAAUUAUCCUCGGGUUAAUUACUCCCAUGUAGUUCAUUAGUUAUUAGGCAAAUGUAGUACCAAAGUUGGGCCUUGCCAGACCAGCUUUAAUCUAAAACGAAUUAUCAAGGGGGUCCCCAUAACAACCCCGAUCGUGUUAGGAGCGCUCAUUUAUGGAACAUAACACCGGUAGCCGAAAACUAAGGGAGCAAAGGUGGAACAAAACACCAGGCUAGAAAGGUCGAGCCUUCCACCUUUUACCAAGUAUAUAGGUGCAUUAAAUUAAAUAGCAUUUAAUAAGGUGAUAUGAAAAGGAACCCAUGUUAUCACAUGGAAGCAUCUGCACCUGCAACUAGCAACGCUAACACAGGGUUAAGCAAGCAGUAACAUAGCCAGUCAGUGGUUUGCUAGGUCGUACAGGUUGAAGGUGAUCAUGGCAUUGUUGAGAGGCUGAUAUUUAACAUGUGAUAGGCAACGAGACAUAAUCGAUAGAAACGGUAAAACUAGCAUGGCAAUGAUAGUAAUGGUAUCUGGGGAAAUGGUCAUCUUGCCUGAGAUCCCGCUUGGAAGAAGAACAACUCUGUGAAGUCAGCGAACCAACGUAGUCGAACGGGUCCUCACAUUCUGACACGCUUGCGGAACUCUAUCGAGACGGGGCAAACCGGAAACAAACAUCAACAUAGAUAUUCACCUCACGAUGCACAACAUGAUGCAUACCCUAAUAUGAUGCAUGAUCAGUUCAAUAUGCAAGGGAUGGCAUGGCAAAUCACCUCACGCAAACACUACACAUUAAAUGAAGCUCGAUAUGCAACGGGUUGCAUAUCGACGAAACUCCACGUUUAAUUAUUUAAUUCACUCCCGUUAAUUAUCACGGCAAUAUUACAUGUUGUUAACAUAGCAAGGGUGAAGCGAUGGUCCUACACGACAUCCUAGUCGGGUAACACGCGAAACAUAGAUCGGAGCUACGGCACAAGAGACAUGCAACACAAUAUAUAUAUGCCAUGAAUGCCUCAUGCGUGCAAGUAUAACACAUCACGACAAGGAGGGAAAAAGCAGGUGUCGCCACAGCGAGCGAAAGGGGAACCAUGGCGGCAAAACGGAAACGAUGCCAUGGCAACGUUCCUAUCCCGAUAACUCAUUGAGAUAUCGUGCCAACGUAUAGGAAGCGUGUGCGGGAACGCUAAAUAAAGAUGGGGUGAUCCCGUAUCUCGGGUUCCCAUGUGUCGGGCACAACAUAGAGGGACAACGUGCAACGGUCAAACAUACGGUGCAUACAUACAUAUAUUCAUACAUCACUUGUACACGGUACACGACAACGUCUCAACGUUAUACCUGCGGAGCGUGCACAUCGGAGCGGUUCGGUCGAAGCGGACGUCGUGGAGGUCGUGGUCGUCGUGGAAGUCAUGGAAGUAGUCGUUCUCUCGACCUCGUGGAUCACGGUCUUCACAUUGGUAGUCGAUCACGUCUCUGUCGAUGGUAGUCGUACACGGUUCUUCUCGUCGGCACAGGGUCUUCGGCGUCGGUAGUCGAACACGUUCCGGGGUCGUCGAGAACGUCGUGGUACUCGGCGAACUUGUCGACGAACCACGGCAGGCGAGGAAGGUGCACACGGCCUUCGCCGUCGGUAACCAGCGCCGCAACAGCAGCACCGGCGGCAGCAACUAACAGCAAGCUACGGCGACACAACAACAUCUAGCGGGCAGCGGCCGACUACAACUACAGCAACUAGCUUCGGCCACAACACAGCACGCUACGGCAGCAACUAGCGGACCGCAGCGACGACGGCAUCUAGCAGGCAACAGCUAGCAAAAAUCUACCUAGCAGCAGCAAAGCAAACAACAAGGCAAACAACAGCAACUACCACUAGCACGAGCAACAGCACACGCAAGCAAACAUAUGACAACAAAGCUUCGGGCAACAGCAAUCAUCUACACGCAUCGGCCGCAGCAGGCAAGGCAACAACAUCACCAGCACCUAUCAGCAUAGGCAGGAACAACAAGAGCAAAAGCAAGGCAGCAAGCUAGCUACUGUCUACGCAGCAACAACGACUGUUGGGGACCGUCGCAUGGGAAACAAAAAAUUUCCUACGCGCACGAAGACCUAUCAUGGUGAUGUCCAUCUACGAGAGGGGAUGAGUGAUCUACGUACCCUUGUAGACCGUACAACAGAAGCGUUAGAGAACGCGGUUGAUGUAGUGGAACGUCCUCACGUCCCUCGAUCCGCCCCCGCGAACAAUCCCGCGAUCAGUCCCACGAUCUAGUACCGAACGGACGGCACCUCCGCGUUCAGCACACGUACAGCUCGACGAUGAUCUCGGCCUUCUUGAUCCAGCAAGAGAGACGGAGAGGUAGAAGAGUUCUCCGGCAGCGUGACGACGCUCCGGAGGUUGGUGAUGACCUUGUCUCAGCAGGGCUCCGCCCGAGCUCCGCAGAAACGCGAUCUAGAGGAAAAACUGUGGAGGUAUGUGGUCGGGCUGCCGUGGAAAAGUCGUCUCAAAUCAGCCCUAAAACCUCCGUAUAUAUAGGUGGGAGGGAGGGGGUCUUGCCUUGGGGCUCAAGGAGCCCCAAGGGGGUCGGCCGAGUCCAAGGGGGAGGACUCCUCCCCCCCCCCAAACCGAGUUGGACUAGGUUUGGUGGGAGGGAGUCCCCCUUCCUUCCCACCUCCUCCUUUUUUUUUCUUCCUCUCUUGAUUUUCUUCUCCUUGGCGCAUAGGGCACUUGUGGGCUGUCCCACCAGCCCACUAAGGGCUGGUGUGUCUCCCCCAAGGCCUAUGGGCUUCCCCGGGGUGGGUUGCCCCCCGGUGAACUCCCGGAACCCAUUCGUCAUUCCCGGUACAUUCCCGGUAACUCCGAAAACCUUCCGGUAAUCAAAUGAGGUCAUCCUAUAUAUCAAUCUUCGUUUCCGGACCAUUCCAGAAACCCUCGUGACGUCCGUGAUCUCAUCCGGGACUCCGAACAACAUUCGGUAACCAACCAUAUAACUCAUAUACGCAUAAAACAACGUCGAACCUUAAGUGUGCAGACCCUGCGGGUUCGAGAACUAUGUAGACAUGACCCGAGAGACUCCUCGGUCAAUAUCCAAUAGCGGGACCUGGAUGCCCAUAUUGGAUCCUACAUAUUCUACGAAGAUCUUAUCGUUUGAACCUCAGUGCCAAGGAUUCAUAUAAUCCCGUAUGUCAUUCCCUUUGUCCUUCGGUAUGUUACUUGCCCGAGAUUCGAUCGUCAGUAUUCGCAUACCUAUUUCAAUCUCGUUUACCGGCAAGUCUCUUUACUCGUUCCGUAAUACAAGAUCCCGCAACUUAAACUAAGUUACAUUGCUUGCAAGGCUUGUGUGUGAUGUUGUAUUACCGAGUGGGCCCCGAGAUACCUCUCUGUCACACAGAGUGACAAAUCCCAGUCUCGAUCCAUACUAACUCAACGAACACCUUCGGAGAUACCUGUAGAGCAUCUUUAUAGUCACCCAGUUACGUUGCGACGUUUGAUACACACAAAGCAUUCCUCCGGUGUCCGUGAAUUAUAUGAUCUCAUGGUCAUAGGAACAAAUACUUGACACGCAGAAAACAGUAGCAACAAAAUGACACGAUCAACAUGCUACGUCUAUUAGUUUGGGUCUAGUCCAUCACAUGAUUCUCCUAAUGAUGUGAUCCCGUUAUCAAGUGACAACACUUGCCUAUGGCCAGGAAACCUUGACCAUCUUUGAUCAACGAGCUAGUCAACUAGAGGCUUACUAGGGACAGUGUUUUGUCUAUGUAUCCACACAAGUAUUGUGUUUCCAAUCAAUACAAUUAUAGCAUGGAUAAUAAACGAUUAUCAUGAACUAAGAAAUAUAACAAUAACUAAUUUAUUAUUGCCUCUAGGGCAUAUUUCCAACAGUCUCCCACUUGCACUAGAGUCAAUAAUCUAGUUCACAUCACCAUGUGAUUCCAACGAAUCCAACACCCAUAUAGUUAUGGGGUCUGAUCACGUCUUGCUCGUGAGAGAGGUUUUAGUCAACGGUUCUGAAACUUUCAGAUCCGUGCGUUCUUUACAAAUCUUUAUGUCAUCUUAUAGAUGCUGCUACUACGUGCUAUUCGGAAAUGCUCCAAAUAUCUACUCUACUAUAUGAAUCCGUUUCACUACUCAUAGUUAUUUGGAUUAGUGUCAAAGCUUGCAUCGACGUAACCCUUUACGACGAACUCUUUAACCACCUCCAUAAUCGAGAAAAAUUCCUUAGUCCAUUUGUUACUAAGGAUAAAUUUUGACCGCUGCUAGUGAUUCAAUCAUGGAUCACUCUCUGUACCUCUCAACAGACUUUGAGUCAAGGCACACAUGAGGUGCGGUACACAACAUGGCAUACUUUAGAUUCUACGGCUAAGGCAUAGAAGACGACCUUCGUCUAUUCUCUUUAUUCUGCCGUGGUCGGGUUUUGAGUCUUACUCAAAUUCACACCUUACAACGCAACAAAGAACUCCUUCUUUACUGAUCUAUUUUGAACUCCUUCAAAAACUUGUCAAGGCAUGCAUCUUGUUGAAACUUCUAUUAAGCGCUUUCGAUCUAUCUCCAUAGAUCUUUGAUGCUCAACGUUCAAGUAGCGCAAUCUAGGUAUUCCUUUGAAAAACUCCUUUCAAACAACCUUGUAUGCUUUACAGAAAUUCUACAUUACUUCUGAUCCACAAUAUGUCAACCACAUAUACUUACCAGAAAUUCUAUAGUGCUCCCACUCACUUCUUUGGAAAUACAAGUUUCUCAUAAACCUUGUACAAACCCAAAAUCUUUGAUCAUCUCAUCAAAGUAUAUAUAUUCCAACUCCGAGAUGCUUGCACCAGUCCAUUGAAGGAUCGCUGGAGCUUGCAUACUUGCUAGUAUCUUUAGGAUCGACAAAACCUUCUGGUUGUAUUACAUACAAUGUUUGCUCAAGGAAACCGUUGAGAAAACAAUGUUUUGACAUCCUACGUGCAAUAUUUAAUAAAUAAUGCAUCAACAACUAACAUAAUUCUAACAGACCUUUAGCAUCGCUACGAGUGAGAAAGUCUCAUCAUAGUCAACUGUUUGAUCUUGUCGAAAACAUCUUUGCGACAAGUCGAGCUUUUCUUAAUAGUGACUUAUCACCAUCAUCGUCUGUCUUCUUUUAAAGAUCCAUCUUUACUCAAUAGUCUUAUGACCAUCAAGUAGUUCUUUCAAAGUCUACACUUUGUUUUCAUACAUGGAUCCUCUCUCGGAUUUCAUGGCUUCCACCCAUUUGUCGGAAUCUGGGUCCACCAUCGCUUUCUCCAUAACUCGUAGGUUCACUGUUGCUCAACAACAUGACCUCCAAGACAGGGUUACCGUACCACUCUGUAGUAGUAUGCGACCUUGUCAACCUACGAGGCUUGUAGUAACUUGAUCCGAUGCUUGAUGAUCACCAUCAUCAGCUUCCACUUCAAUUGGUGUAGGCGCCACAGGAACAACUUCCUGCGCCCUGCUACACACUGGUAGAAGUGAUGGUUCAAUAACCUCGUCAAGUUCUACUACCCUCCCACUCAAUUCUUUCGAGAGAAACCUUUCCUCGAGAAAGGAUCCGUUUCUAGAAACAAACACUUUGCUUUCGAAUCUGAGAUAGGAGAUGUACCCAACUGUUUUGGAUAUCCUAUGAAGAUGCAUUUAUCCGCUUUGGGUUCGAGCUUAUCAGACUGAAACUUUUUCACAUAAGUGUCGAAGCCCCAAACUUUCAAGAAACGACAGUUUAGAUUUCUCUAAACCUCAGUCUAUACUGUGUCAUCUCAACGGAAAUACGCGGUGCCCUAUUUAAAGUGAGUGCGGUUGUCUCUAAUGCAUAACCCAUAAACGAUAGUGGUAAUUCGAUAAGAGACAUCAUAGUAUGCACCAUACCAAAUAGUGCGUGGCUAUGACGUUCAGACACAUCAUCACACUAUGAUGUUCCAGGUGGCAUGAACUGCGAAACAAUUUCCACAUUGUCUUAACUGUGUACCAAAACUCGUAACUCAGGUAUUCAUUUCCAUGAUCAUAUCGUAGACAGUUUUAUCCUCUUGUUACGACGAACUUCACUCUGAAACGGAAUUGAACUUUUCAACAUUUCAGACUUGUGAUUCAUUAAGUAAAUACUCCUGUAUCUACUCAAAUCGUCAGUGAAGUAAGAACAUAAUGAUAUCCACUGCGUGCCUCAGCACCCAUUGGACUGCAUACAUCAAAAUGUAUCACUUCCAACAAGUUACUAUCUUAUUUCAUCUCAAUGAAAACAAGGCCUUGCUCAUGUGGUAUGAUUUGCAUGUCACUAGUGAUUCGAAAUCAGGUGAGUACAAAGAUCCAUCAGCAUGGAGCCUCUUCAUGCAAUUUAUACUAACAUGACUCAAGCGGCAAUGCCACAAGUAAGUGGUACUAUCAUCAUCAACUCGUAUCUUUUGGCACCAAUAUCAUGAACAUGUGUAACACUACGAUCGAGAUUUAAUAAACCAUUGAAGGUGAUUAUUCAAGAAAACAGAGUAACCAUUAUUCUCUUUAAAUGAAUAAUCGUAUUGCAAUAAACACGAUCCAAUCAUGUUCAUGCUUAACGCAAGCACCAAAUAACAAUUAUUUAGGUUUAACACCAAUCCCGAUGGUAGAGGGAGCGUGCGAUGUUUGAUCAUAUCAACCUUGGAAACACUUCCAACACGUAUCGUCACCUCGCCUUUAGCUAGUCUCCGUUUAUGCCGUAGCUUUCAUUUCGUGUUACUAAUCACUUAGCAACCGAACCGGUAUCCAAUACCCUCAUGCUACUAGGAGUACUAGUAAAGUACACAUCAACAUCAUGUAUAUCAAAUACACUUCUUUCGACUUUCGCCAGCCUUCUUAUCUACCAAGUAUCUAGAGUUGCUCCGCCUCAGUGACUGUUCCCCUCAUUACAGAAGCACUUAGUCUCGGGUUUGGGUUUAAUCUUGGGUCUCUUCAUUAGUGCAGCAACUGUUUUGCCGUUUCACGAAGUAUCCCUUCUAGCCCUUGCCUUUCUUGAAACUUAGUGGUUUUACAAACCAUCAACUAUUGACGCUCCUUCUUGAUUUCUACUUUCGCAGUGCCAAACAUCGCGAAUCGCUCAAGGAUCAUUGUAUCUAUCCUUGAUAUGUUAUAGUUCAUCACGAAGCUCUCACAGCUUGGUGGCAGUGACUUUGGAGAACCAUCACUAUCUCAUCUGGAAGAUUAACUCCCACUUGAUUCAAGUGAUUGUCGUACUCAGACAAUCUGAGCACACGCUCAACGAUUGAGCUUUUCUCCUUUACUUUGUGGACAAAGAAUCUUGUUGGAGGUCUCGUACCUCUUAACAAGGGCACAAGCAUGAAAUCACAAUUUCAUCUCUUUAGAACAUCACUUAUGUUCCGUGACGUUUUACAAUGUUUUCGGCGCCUUGCUUCUAAGCCAUUAAGCAUUUUGCACUGAACUAUCAUGUAGUCAUCAGAAACGUGUAUGUCGGAUGUUCAUAGCAUCCACAGACGACGCUCGAGGUGCAGCACACCGAGUGGUGCAUUGAGGACAUAAGCCUUCUGCGUAGCAACGAGGACAAUCCUCGAUUUUACAGACUCAGUCUGCAAAGUUUGCUACUAUCAAUUUUCAACUAAAUUUUCUCUAGGAACAUAUAAAAACAGUAGAGCUAUAGCGCAAGCUACAUCGUAAUUCGCAAAGACCAUUAGACUAUGUUCAUGAUAAUUAGUUCAAUUAAUCAUAUUACUUAAGAACUCCCACUCAAAAAGUACAUCUCUCUAGUCAUUUGAGUGGUACAUGAUCCAAAUCCACUAUCUCAAGUCCGAUCAUCACGUGAGUCGAGAAUAGUUUCAGUGGUAAGCAUCUCUAUGCUAAUCAUAUCAACUAUACGAUUCAUGCUCGACCUUUCGGUCUCAUGUGUUCCGAGGCCAUGUCUGCACAUGCUAGGCUCGUCAAGCUUAACUCGAGUGUUCCGCGUGCGCAACUGUUUUGCACCCGUUGUAUGUGAACGUUGAGUCUAUCACACCCAAUCAUCACGUGGUGUCUCGAAACGACGAACUGUAGCAACGGUGCACAGUCGGGGAGAACACAAUUUCGUCUUGAAAUUUUAGUGAGAGAUCACCUCAUAAUGCUACCAACGUUUUAAGCAAAAUAAGGUGCAUAAAAGGAUUAACAUCACAUGCAAUUCAUAAGUGACAUGAUAUGGCCAUCAUCACGUGCUUCUUGAUCUCCAUCACCAAAGCACCGACACGAUCUUGUUGUCACCGGCGCCACAUCAUGAUCAUCCAUCAACGUGUUGCCAUCGGGGUUGUCGUGCUACUUAUGCUAUUACUACUAAAGCUACAUCCUAGCAAUAUAGUAAACGCAUCUGCAAGCACAAACGUUAGUAUAAAGACAACCCUAUGGCUCCUGCCGGUUGCCGUACCAUCGACGUGCAAGUCGAUAUUUCUAUUACAUGAUCAUCUCAUACAUCCAAUAUAUCACAUCACAUCGUUGGCCAUAUCACAUCACAAGCAUACCCUGCAAAAACAAGUUAGACGUCCUCUAAUUUUGUUGUUGCAUGUUUUACGUGGUGACCAAGGGUAUCUAGUAGGAUCGCAUCUUACUUACGCUAACACCACAACGGAGAUAUAUGAGUUGCUAUUUAACCUCAUCCAAGGACCACCUCGGUCAAAUCCGAUUCAACUAAAGUUGGAGAAACCGACACUUGCCAGUCAUCUUUGAGCAAAGGGGGUUACUCGUAACGAUGAAACCAGUCUCUCGUAAGCGUACGAGUAAUGUCGGUCCAAGCCGCUUCGAUCCAACAAUACCGCGGAAUCAAGAAAAGACUAAGGAGGGCAGCAAAACGCACAUCUCCGCCCACAAAAACUUUUGUGUUCUACUCGAGAAGACAUCUACGCAUGAACCUAGCUCAUGAUGCCACUGUUGGGGAACGUCGCAUGGGAAACAAAAAUUUUCCUACGCGCAUGAAGACCUAUCAUGGUGAUGUCCAUCUACGAGAGGGGAUGAGUGAUCUACGUAUCCUUGUAGACCGUACAGCAGAAGCGUUAGAGAACGCGGUUGAUGUAGUGGAACGUCCUCACGUCCCUCGAUCCGCCCCGCGAACAAUCCCGCGAUCAGUCCCACGAUCUAGUACCGAACGGACGGCACCUCCGCGUUCAGCACACGUACAGCUCGACGAUGAUCUCGGCCUUCUUGAUCCAGCAAGAGAGACGGAUAGGUAGAAGAGUUCUCCGGCAGCGUGACGGCGCUCCGGAGGUUGGUGAUGACCUUGUCUCAGCAGGGCUCCGCCCGAGCUCCGCAGAAACGCGAUCUAGAGGAAAAACUGUGGAGGUAUGUGGUCGGGCUGCCGUGGAAAAGUCGUCUCAAAUCAGCCCUAAAACCUCCGUAUAUAUAGGUGGGAGGGAGGGGGCCUUGCCUUGGGGCUCAAGGAGCCCCAAGGGGGUCGGCCGAGUCCAAGGGGGAGGACUCUCCCCCCCAAACCGAGUUGGACUAGGUUUGGUGGGAGGGAGUCCCCCUUCCUUCCCACCUCCUCCUUUUUUUUCUCCUCUCUUGAUUUUCUUCUCCUUGGCGCAUAGGGCACUUGUGGGCUGUCCCACCAGCCCACUAAGGGCUGGUGUGUCUCCCCCAAGGCCUAUGGGCUUCCCCGGGGUGGGUUGCCCCCCCGGUGAACUCCCGGAACCCAUUCGUCAUUCCCGGUACAUUCCCGGUAACUCCGAAAACCUUCCGGUAAUCAAAUGAGGUCAUCCUAUAUAUCAAUCUUCGUUUCCGGACCAUUCCAGAAACCCUCGUGACGUCCGUGAUCUCAUCCGGGACUCCGAACAACAUUCGGUAACCAACCAUAUAACUCAUAUACGCAUAGAACAACGUCGAACCUUAAGUGUGCAGACCCUGCGGGUUCGAGAACUAUGUAGACAUGACCCGAGAGACUCCUCGGUCAAUAUCCAAUAGCGGGACCUGGAUGCCCAUAUUGGAUCCUACAUAUUCUAUGAAGAUCUUAUCGUUUGAACCUCAGUGCCAAGGAUUCAUAUAAUCCCGUAUGUCAUUCCCUUUGUCCUUCGGUAUGUUACUUGCCCGAGAUUCGAUCGUCAGUAUCCGCAUACCUAUUUCAAUCUCGUUUACCGGCAAGUCUCUUUACUCGUUCCGUAAUACAAGAUCCCGCAACUUAAACUAAGUUACAUUGCUUGCAAGGCUUGUGUGUGAUGUUGUAUUACCGAGUGGGCCCCGAGAUACCUCUCCGUCACACGGAGUGACAAAUCCCAGUCUCGAUCCAUACUAACUCAACGAACACCUUCGGAGAUACCUGUAGAGCAUCUUUAUAGUCACCCAGUUACGUUGCGACGUUUGAUACACACAAAGCAUUCCUCCGGUGUCCGUGAAUUAUAUGAUCUCAUGGUCAUAGGAACAAAUACUUGACACGCAGAAAACAGUAGCAACAAAAUGACACGAUCAACAUGCUACGUCUAUUAGUUUGGGUCUAGUCCAUCACAUGAUUCUCCUAAUGAUGUGAUCCCGUUAUCAAGUGACAACACUUGCCUAUGGCCAGGAAACCUUGACCAUCUUUGAUCAACGAGCUAGUCAACUAGAGGCUUACUAGGGACAGUGUUUUGUCUAUGUAUCCACACAAGUAUUGUGUUUCCAAUCAAUACAAUUAUAGCAUGGAUAAUAAACGAUUAUCAUGAACUAAGAAAUAUAACAAUAACUAAUUUAUUAUUGCCUCUAGGGCAUAUUUCCAACAGCGACAACAUGCAUCGGCCAGGUAUAGCAAGCAGAACAACAGCAGGAGUUGCGGCAACAGGCAUCAGCACGAGACAGCCACAACAACGGCUCGGUACAGCAACAUGCACGGCGACAUGGCGAGCACGGCAACGCCUCGGGCCACGCGCAGAGGCGGCGCCGCUGAGGGGAACGGCAGCGAAGGAGAGGCCGGCGAGGCGGAGCGGCACGGCGGCGACGCAGCACGCGGGAGGGGCGAGGUCGAGGGCGACUGGGAGGCGAGCACGGCGGGGGCGGCGCGGCUCGGGAGGAGGAGGCCGGCGAGGUGGGCGCGAGGAGGACGAGGCCGGCGACGGCGGAGCGACACGGCGGCGACGCAGCACGCGGAAGGGGCGAGGUCGAGGGCGGCUGGGAUGAUGGAGGCAGCGCGCGACUCGGAUGGGAGGCCGGCGAGGUGCGCCGCUGAGGGGCCCUGACCGCCGGCGAGCUAGGGGCGGCGCGCGCGGGGAGGAGCAGAGAGGAGAUCGAGGCUAUGGCGUGGAGGAGGGAGCGCUGGGCGAAGGGGAUCGCCCUGGAGGCGACGGGAGAACGAGGACGGGGCGAGGGGAUGGAGCAGGGGGCUUGGGGCUAGGCAGAGGAGGGGGAAGCUCCAUGAGAAAGAGGGAAUCGGGGCCAUGGAACCGAGAGGAGGAGGCGCACGGGAGGACGGCGCAGUCGGGACAAGAAGGAGGGAUCGAGCGACGCUGGAGGGCGCUAGGGCAGGGGUAAGCUGGGCCGGGCGGCUGGGCCUUGGUCGGCUUGGCCCAGGUUGGCAUGACCCUCUCUCCCAAUUUGUUCUCUUUGUUUAAAAAAAACAGAAAACAUAAACAAAAGGAAAAAAUGGUUAAGAAAAAAAAUGCUUUUGGCUCCUUCGAAAAAAAUAUACCCCAACUAUAAAAAUAGCUUGGGCAUUUUUAAACAAAUAAAAAUGAAACCCUUUUAAGAAUUAAAAUAAAACUCUUUUAACAAGAGAAUAAAAUAAAACCCUUUUGAAGAAUUAAAAUUAAAACCCGUUUACAAAAGAAUAAAAAUCAAACCCCUUUGAAGAAUUAAAUAAAACCUCUUUUAUUUAACGAAUAAAAUAAAAGCCUUUUAAAAGAGAAAAUAAAAUGGGACGGUUUAAAAAUAAAACAAACGGAGAAAUAAAAUAAAAACCUAAGGGUUGCCCCCUCUUUUAACAAAAGGGUUUUUAAAAGAAGACGAAUCUUUUGACGGGGUUAAAACGAAAACUUUAGCAAACCGCACAACAACUAAAAGAGGGGUGAGAAGGUUUUUGGUCCGCGGUGCAACAUGGUUUAGCGGUGGCUCUCGCGCACCCUCUCUCAACGCUCCAAUAAAACAACGCCACUCACAAGGCACUAACACCCAACAACACGGCAACAAGCAACACCGACAAAACACAGUUGACAUGAUGCCAUGCAUGAUGCGAUGAUGCAAACUACAUGACGAUGCAACAAAUAAAUCUAAUCACACGACGGAAACGGAAUAGAAGGGAAAAUCUUCUGGAACGUCGGCAUCGGGCUGUCACACAACUCAAGUGAAAUUACCGUCAAGACCGUCGGUAUCGGCACCGAGGAAGAAGCGGGUGAUUCAGUCGACCCAAUAAAAGAACUAUCCAAGAAAGUUAGAGGAGGGUUCUGAGGAAAGAAGUGGGAGGAAGAGAAGGAUAAGAGAGAAUGCGUGGCGGCCAAGAUGACGGAGAGGUUUGAGGACAUCUUGGAGAAGAAGAAGGAUGCAUGUGUCAAGCGCUCCGACAUCAAGGAGAAAAAAGACCGAAAGAAGUUUAAGCUCGAAGAGAAGAAGAUAAUGUUUGAAAAGAAGAAGGUUCAGAUCACGUCGCUUCAGAGGACAUGAAGAUGUUGGCCUUGAAGAUGGAGGAGUUGAAUAACAACUCAAGGAUGAUGGUGCAAGUCGUUUGUGUUAGGACGUUGAAGCACAUGACUGCCGAGCUGGAGGCGCCGAUGAGGAGUAUGGUAAGAAGGAUCGGUGACAGGUUGAGAGUGGAGGCUCCGAUAGCCGGGACGACAAGACAAUAAUCCAAUUUUUUUACAUGGACUGUUGUACUGAGAUUCUUUUGUGAUCGGACAUGUAAAAGCUAUAUUAUCUUUUUUUUUAUGAUCGAGCGUUAUGUGAUCAGACACUAUACAUUUUAUUUUAAAUUGGUCGGACCUUAACCCACGUCUAGAAAAUGAAGUUGGAUGGUCGGCUCCGGCAUCAUUAUCCACGAAUUGGUUUGGACCAGUUCAUGAACGGGUACUGUGUUCAAUUUAAGGUUAGGUUAGAGAUGCCCUAAACUAUCCCAUGUUACCAAAUGUAAAAUAUUUUGGUCGAUUUUAUAUGUAAUAAAAGAUCUCACACUUUCCAUUUGCUUGGAGGAGUAUGGUGAAAAGGAGUCAGCGGCAGGUUGAGCGUGAAGGCUCGGAUAGCCGGGACGACAAGACAAUAAAUCCAUUUUUUUACAUAGACUGUCGAGUUGAGAAUUUUUUGCGAUCAGACAUGUAAAAGUUAUAUUGUCUUAUUUUUUCUUUUAAUCGAGUGCUAUGUGAUCAGACACGUUUCCGUCAAACGUACGCUGAUACUAUAUAAAGAUGCUCUGCAGCAGUUUGUCAAAAAAUUUUUGCUCUGCAGCAAUAGUACCCUUUUAUGGCUGCCCCAAACCAGUUCAAGAACCAAAAAAGUUGUUUACAUAGAUUGGAGCUCCCGUAUCUUGAAGAGAGAACUGCUUCAGUACAUAAAUGGCAGCAGCGAACUUUAAGGGUACCAAUUCAGUAGCACAGUUAUUGGAGGCUAACUGAACCUAACUUAACUCCAUCCUUUAAGGCGAGGCCUAGCUUAGAUUAUAUUGGAGGCUCAUUUAAAGGAGGAUUGUUUCUCUAGAUAAAUUAGAUUGAACCCCUCGUCCGAUUUUCAUCUCGAAAUAGUCAUUGUCCAUGCCUGGUGCCUCUCCCACCAUCAGCUCUGGCUCGUUGGGAAUGCAUCACCUGGAAUGAAAAUGUGAUCAUGGUCAAUGAGGUUUAUCCGUGGUAUGGGUUGUAUAAGGACAUGAACACUGGUGGCGAAAAAAGACAGGUGCCCCAUCAAACACAUAGGAUUGGAAGGAUUGAGGCUAUUGUUCAGUCCAAUGGUGGCUAUGGUGAUGCUGCCUCACAGCCGUCAUCCACUGUCCUCAUAUGUUCAUCUUUUUCAUUCUUUCUCCCUUUCUUUUUCUCUCCUUCCUUACUUUUUCCUACUUUUUUCAUUAAAGAACCAGCCUCCUCUGCAAGCUUCACCUGGCGCAUGCAAGCAGCGGUCCUCCUGCCAGAGUGGCAUCCGAGCCUAGUUGGCCUAUGAAGCAUCACCUUUGGGGCUACCCAUUGGGCAUGCUCUAACAAGCUUACCCGUGUAGUAUGAAGUUGCGGACGUAUGAUCAACAACAUACGCAACCAUAGAAAACGAACACAAAACAUAUGAUUCAGAGCUUUACUUCUAAGAUUAUUUAUCAAAAUAAGAGGUGAGGAAGCCCUAAAUCUAUGACUAACAUGUGUUAGCGGACCUCAUGAACCAAUAAAGCCUAACAAGAUGGCAACGGGUACCUGUUACCCGAUCCCGACGGGUAACUACUCUAUCAAGGAACGAGUUUGGGCCACAUUUGGUGCCGACGGGUAAGUAAAUGGCAAAAAAAUGCUUACCCACUGGGUAACAGAGGUACACGUACGUUCAUCCAUUAGUGAUUACCCAUGCUUGCUACCCAUUGGUACCCAGUAGUGAAGGCCUAAUAUGUGGACCCCGUCUUUUGUUGCUCAGUUUUGAGCUAUAUCAUUGUCAUUUGUCUUGCGAUGAACUAUGCCAUCUAGAAUCACUCUUGAGAGUUAUGACUUGUGACUUUGUGAGAUAUGGGAAAGUUUUGAAACUUGAUCAUUUGAACCUUGCUACUUGUUAUGAUAAUGAUGUGAUGCAUAAAUUGUACUAUUAAAUUGAUGGAUGUUAGUGUUAUCACUGUUAUGAUGUGAUGGCAUGCACUUGUUGUGCAAUUAUUCUAUAGAAUUGAUGGAUAAUAGUGUCAUGAUGUGAUGGUAUGCACUUGUGCUGUGCAAUUAUUCUAUCGAAUUGAUGACCGAUAAUGUUAUGAUGUAAUGGUAUGCAAUUGCGCUAUGCAACUAUGCUAUUGAACCGCAGAAUGUUCUGAUUCUGGAUAGUAAGUUGUUGGUUUGAUAUGUGUAAAUUGCUCCUGGAGUUUGGCAUCAGACGAGCUGCUAUACCUGCUGGGCAGAAUUACCCGUCGGGUGACAGGCAUGGGCAAAAUUCUUCCACGCGAUGGGUUGGUAAUGGGCAACUAUGUGCUUUGCAGGUGCAUGGAAAAAGAGGCUUUACCCGGCCAGGUAAUUAUCCAUUGCCAUCUUAAAGCCUUAAUGGGCAUGCUCAGAAAGAACCACAUGACCAUGUCUAAAAAUAGCACUAAAAUGUGUUAAUGGACCUCAAGAGCCAACAAAGUCUAAGAGUCAGUGACUAGGUUGGUACCUUACCUCGCUGACAGAAGACGUAUUCUGAUGCAUUAACUACACUAGCACCAUCUUCUCUAGUUAUAACGAUACCAUUUCAACAUUGGAAACCACCACCAGACUACCAUUGCACAAACAGGUUAAGAUGAGAAGCCUUUAAGCUUACUAGCCAUGCAUUCUAAAGCCCUGGUCGCGCUGCAGCUGUUUCUGCUGCUGCUCUGCUUGGCCUCUCCUGCCAACUCAUGCACCGAGCACGAGGAGCAGUCCCUCCUCCAGUUCCUCACCAGGCUAUCUCAAGAUGGCGGCCUCGUCGUGUCGUGGAGAAACGGCACAGACUGCUGCGGGUGGGAAGGCAUAACCUGCAACAGGGAGGGGGGCGUCGCUGAGGUCUCCCUGGCAUCCAGAGGACUUGAAGGGCACAUCUCGCCGCACCUUGCUGGUCUCACCGGCCUGCUGCGUGUCAACCUUUCACACAACUCAUUCUCUGGUGGCCUUCCACCGGAGCUCAUGUAUUCCAGAAGCAUCAUCGUCCUCGACGUCAGCUUCAGCAGGCUUAGUGGGGUGCUGCACGAGCCGCCAUCUUCCGUUACCGCCACCCGGCCUCUACAGGUACUGAACAUCUCAAGCAACCAAUUCGGUGCAGAAUUUCCAUCACACACAUGGAAGGUGAUGCAGAAUUUGGUGGUGCUCAACGCCAGCAACAACAGCUUCACCGGGCACAUACCGCCUUCUAUUUGCCUCUCACCAUCACUGGCCAUGCUUGACCUUUGUUACAACCAAUUGAGUGGUGGUGUUCCUGCUGCACUUGGUGAUUGCUCCAUGCUCAGACUGUUCAAGGUCGGGCACAAUAAGCUAAGUGGCACUCUCCCUGUUGAGCUCUUCCAUGCCACUUCCCUGGAGCACCUCUCCUUCGCCAGCAAUGGAUUACAAGGAGAACUUGAUGGAACAAGCAUAGUAAAACUCAGUAAUCUGGUUACUCUCGACCUCAGAGAGAACAGAUUCAGUGGAAAGAUCCCACGCUCCAUAGGUCAGUUGAAGAGGCUAGAGGAACUCUAUUUGGGUAACAAUAACAUGUCUGGGGAGGUGCCAUCAACUCUGAGUAACUGCACACGUCUCAUGGUCAUUGAUCUGAAGAUCAACAACUUCAGUGGAGAUCUAGGCAGGGUGAACUUCUCCACCCUGCAGAACCUAACACAUUUAGAUGUUUUGAGAAAUAACUUCAGUGGCAUAGUUCCAGAAAACAUAUACUCAUGCAGCAAUUUGGUUGCACUGCGGGUGUCGUUGAAUCAUUUCCAUGGUGAGAUCUCACCAAGAAUAGGGAAUCUGCAGUACCUAUCCUUCCUAUCGCUUGCUAGAAACCCUUUUACAAAUAUUACAAAAGCUUUUCAUGUCUUUAAUAGCUUCAGGAACAUCACCAUUCUGAUUAUUGCCGAGAACUUUGUGAAUGAGAUGAUGCCACAAGAUGAGACCCUAGAUGGUUUACGGAAUCUUGAAUAUAUCCACAUGGCCGACAGCGCAUUAACUGGACACUUGCCAGUUUGGUUAUCAAAGCUCAGAAACUUGAAGGUACUGAAGUUAUCCAACAAUCGACUCAGCGGACCAAUGCCAGGCUGGAUCAACUCCUUGCAUAGCCUCUUCUAUCUGGACGUAUCAAACAACAGUUUUACUGGGCAGAUCCCAAUCACCUUGAUGGACAUCCCAAUGCUCAAAGAUAAUACAGCAGCUUAUUUGGAUCCUGGCCACGUUGAACUACCUCUUUUUUGGAGGAAUAUAUCGCGCCAAUACCAUUUUCUUACAGCUUUCCCUACAAUCUUGAAUCUGAGUAUCAACAAUUUCACAGGUGUGAUUCCACCAGAGAUUGGUCAACUGAAAGUGCUUUCUGAACUCGAUUUCAGCUCAAACAAAUUAUAUGGAGUGGUUCCGCUGUCGGUCUGCAAUCUCACGAAGCUUGAGGUGCUAGACUUGUCUAAUAACCAUCUGAGUGGUGUAAUCCCCGCAGCACUGGAGAUACUUCACUUCCUUUCUGCAUUCAACAUUUCGAACAAUGACCUAGAAGGGCCUGUGCCGACAGGAGGCCAGUUGAGCACUUUUCCAGAUUCCAGUUUUGAUGGGAACCCAAAGCUGUGUGGCAUUAUGCUUGUUCACCGUUGUAGUUCAACCGGAGCAGAUGUUGUCUACGCUAUCUCUGCAAAACAGCCCAGCAUCAAGGUCAUAUUUUUUAUUGGCUUUGGUCUGUUCUUUGGAGUAGGUGUGCUAUAUGACCAGCUAGUGUUAUAUAGGUAUUUCGGCUAGGCCCAUUUCAAUUGUAAUUUGUUCUAAUAUUCGAUGGAUAGGGGUAAAUCAAGCAAUAAAUAGCCAUGAGUUUUAAUUUUUUGCGUGCUUGAAUCCACCUGUAGUUGGAUCUUAUUAUAUAACACUUGAGUCUGCUAAACUUUAUGUUGUUCGCUUCCUGAAUGAUAGAAGUACAGAGUAUUCUUUUUCUAUCUAGCAGCCUUGAUGAGAGGUAGUAGUAAUUCUGUACUUUUCAGAUUGGACAUGACGGUUGUAUGGAACUCCCAAGUGGGAAGUGUCCAGGGUAAUGUAAUUUCCUUUUAAUCAGGGUUGGACCUAGCUUAAAUAUAAAACUAUUCAUUACUCCCAUCGUUCCUAAAUAUAAGUCUUUUUAGAGUUUUCACUAUGAGACUACAUACGGAUGUAUAUAGACAUACUUUAGAGUAUAGAUUAACUCAUUUUGCUUCGUAAGUAGUCACUUAGUGAAAUCUCUUAAAAGACUUAUAUUUAGGAACGGAGGGAGUACUUAGUUGACCAUAGAGCUAAAACUUGAUAGAUAGAACACUACACAUAUUCGGUCCACAGAUGAAACAACUCCAUGUAAGUUUUUUUUUCCUUAUCUGUUUUGCGACGCUGCUGCAUGUAACAACCUAUUGCGAAAACAUCUUCAGAGAAACUAUACUGAAAAUCCAAAAUAUAUUAUGGCAAAUUGCUGAAUAUAUCAUGCCAGCCAAGCUCAUGCUAAACAACACUUAAGUGAAUAAAACUGAUAAUAGCCCCUACAUUUAAUUCAGAGCUCAAUCUAAACAGGGCAAACAAGUCGCAGAGCAAGCCAGCAAGCUACGGAGUACUUUUUUUAGGGUCAGUAAGCUACUCCUGACAAUAGCAAGUAACUGGAGUACAAUAUAUCAUCUCCAUCCCGAAUUACUUGUCUUAAAUUUGUCUAACGGAUGUAUCUAUGUUUUAGUGUCCCAUCCGUAUCUAGACAAAUAGUAAUUCUGGACGGGGGGACUUCGAGUCGGCAACAAACAACACAUCAAUUACCAAUUGCACCUAGCUACCCUAUACGGAAAGAAUGCUGACGACUAGUACAUCCACCGAAAAUAUGUAAGCAAGAACACUGACAAAAAUACCUCCAAAGGACAUACCACCANNNNNNNNNNNNNNNNNNNNNNNNNNNNNNNNNNNNNNNNNNNNNNNNNNNNNNNNNNNNNNNNNNNNNNNNNNNNNNNNNNNNNNNNNNNNNNNNNNNNAGCCGGGCGUCCUUCCCCAAGGGCUUCGUCUUCGGGACGGCGACGUCGGCGUACCAGGUGGAGGGCAUGGCCACCGGCGGCGGCCGCGGGCCCUCCAUCUGGGACGCGUUCGCCCACGUCCCAGGUCAUCCCCUCCUCUCCUCUCCUCUCCUCUCCUCCGUCUCUUGCUUUGCUCAGCACCAGCAGACUUACCACUCACCAUUACCAGUGGCCAACGAGCUGCUUACUACAUCUGCCAAUGGCGAAAUGUUUGAGAACGAUUGAUUAUGUCUCGAUUGAUGGUACUGCAGCUAAUUGUUUGCAGAUGAUAGAUCCGCGACUAAACACUCGAAUUAGAAUUUUGAACUGAGAUCCAAAGUGCAUUCGUCAUCUUCUUCGACCUCAUCCAUCCACACUCACAAUUUUCUUGUUUGUGUUGCAAUGAGCAGGAAACAUUGCGGGCAACCAAAAUGCGGACGUUACUACGGAUCAAUACCAUCGAUACAAGGUACUGCCACCACACCCGAAGCAACAAAAAAAAACGACAAGGGGAAUAUAUUAAUAUACAUCCAAACUUCCAGAGCAAAUAGAGGCGCAUCUCAUAGUAUUAGAAAUCAUAAAUAACAUCCAUGCUAGAAAUUAGCUGAAAAUGUCACUUUUAUUGCUCCUCUGGGUUCUUUAUAGCACCGCGCAAACAGAGGCGCAUCUUCUAGUAUUAGAAAUCAUAAUAAUUUCCAUCUCCAUAGAAGCUAAUGGGUGGCAAUGUUCGUCUUCGUUUGGUCAGUCAAGUGAUGGCUGACCAAUGCCAGCUUUCUAUCUACAAGUGAAAUAUCUGUACGCGUUUCGAAAUUACGCCGCAUAGAUCACAGUUCACAAAAAUUGAGCUGAUUGACAUAUCCCAGUGCGGUACUAAUUGUAAACACUAUAUAUGCAUAGCUUUAUUCUGGGGGAAACAUUAAUAUUCACCCUACGACUAACUGUCCAGAAAGAACUCCAGGGCCUUAAGAUAUGUUCUUUUAUGUUUGGACAGGAAGAUGUUAACCUCAUGAAAGGAUUGAAUUUCGAUGCCUACCGGUUUUCUAUCUCAUGGUCCAGAAUCUUCCCAGGUAAUUCAGAAAUUUGGCUGGACGUAGCAUGCUAAUACAUAACUUCAGUAUUGUUCUGACUGAAACACAAGAGUUACCACCCUUAUUCAUCUUUGACUUGUGCAGAUGGUGACGGAAAAGUUAACCAAGAAGGUGUCGCGUAUUACAAUAAUCUGAUAAACUACCUUCUUCAGAAAGGUAUAGCAUAUGACUAAGCACCUUUUUUUUUUUUGCGCACGGAACUAAGCAUCUAUUUCAACCUGUGAAACUUCCAUGGGAACCAGAAUGCAUUAAUAUCUGAAUGUUUCCAUGAAAACUGAGCAGGCAUUACUCCUUACAUCAAUCUUUACCACUACGAUCUCCCUCUUGCACUUGAGAAGAAGUAUGGAGGCUGGUUAAAUGCAAAGACGGUGUAAGUCAAACUAAUAUUCUAUCCAUCUAUGUACUCAUGUGUUACAUGUACCUUCUCCCUUUGGAGUUACUGUAUACUUGUAGAUUGGAAUUAGAUGCUAGCACAUAUACGUGAGAACGCUAAAAUGGUUUAGACAAAUUACCAGUUACUCUGUACAGUAAAUUAUCUAUUAAAAGUGACUUUGCGCAUUGAGACAUGAGCAUUAUGCAUGUGGAAGUUUUUGUAUGUUUGCCCAAAAGUAAAAUGCACAACAUACAGGCGCUAUAUGUUUUUCUAGGUAAAUACAGCAUGCAUGACCAUCUUCGUAACAUUUGUUUUGUAGGGGACUAUUUGCAGACUAUGCUGACUUUUGUUUUAAGACCUUUGGCGAUCGUGUAAAGCACUGGUUUACAUUCAAUGAACCAAGGAUAGUUGCGCUUCUUGGUUACGACGUAGGGUCGAAUCCUCCUCAAAGGUGCAGCAAAUGCACUGCCGGUGGGAACUCAGCAACAGAACCUUACAUUGUUGCUCACAAUUUUCUCUUAGCACACGGUUAUGCAGUUGCAAGAUACCGGACCAAGUAUCAGGUAUUUUCCUACUUUAAUACAGUAUAAGAGUUAAUUCUAAUAUGAUCAACCUUCAGGAAUGUAGUUUGAAUCAGUUUUCUCUUGAAAAGUUAAGUGUGACAGGCAGGGCCAAUGUGCAUUAACUGUGGAACAAUGCCCCCCGACAUGAUUUUACUUUUAUUAUUGUGUAUAUAUCCAUGAAUGUAUUAGUAUUAUUUUCCAAACCCCAUUGAGCAUGUAAGUGACAACAAAUCUUGAGAUAUCAAAUAAGUUGUGAUUUGUCGUGGGCAUCAAUCUGUCUAGACUGAUGAUAGAAUAGUAUCUGAAUAAUUUAAAAAAAUGCAGGCAGCUCAGAAGGGGAAGGUUGGUAUAGUUCUGGAUUUCAACUGGUACGAGGCUCUUACCAACUCAACUGAAGACCAAGCAGCAGCUCAAAGAGCCAGGGACUUCCAUGUUGGCUGGUAAGGCCUUACUAGUAUCCUCUGCAGAGCAUUUUAAAUAGAUAAACAAAAAAAUAUCAAUGCUUAUACCAUCAACGUUGCAUCGGAUGCAGGUUUGUCGACCCGCUGAUAAACGGGCAUUACCCACAGAUAAUGCAAGACCUUGUGAAAGAGAGGUUGCCCAAGUUCACUCCUGCUGAAGCUAAAAUGGUCAUGGGCUCCGCGGACUAUAUUGGGAUCAAUCAGUACACAGCUAGCCUCAUGAAGGGCCAGAAAUUGCUGCAGCAGACGCCGACCAGCUAUUCAGCCGAUUGGCAGGUUACCUAUGCCUGUGAGUUUCUUGUCUCAAGCUCUAGGUUUUGCAUCACUACAUUUCAAUGAAUAUUGUCGGCUCAUCCUUCAAUUAUCGCCGAUAUUUUGCAGUUGAGAGAAAUGGCAAGCCGAUUGGACCAAAGGUAUGCAGUGGUAGCUCUUAGCUGCAAUCCUUUUCAGCUUUAUUUUCUCCCACAAUAUCUAAUCUAACUGUUGAGUUCAAAAUUAACAUUGCCAAUGCAUGAAUUCGUCACAGGCGAAUUCGAACUGGCUCUACAUCGUCCCAUCGGGGAUGUAUGGGUGCGUGCACUACCUCAGCCAGAAGUACGGGAACCCGCCGAUCGUCAUAACUGAAAACGGUACUGGAUAGUGGAUACACAGCUCCAUGUCUCUCUUUGCUCGGUUUCAUGCCGCCUUUCGAUCAUCCUGUCAUACUAACCUUAGCAUCAUCAUCAUCAUCAUGUGGAACUGCCAGGAAUGGAUCAGCCGGGGGGGCUCACGCGCGACCAGUACCUGCGGGACACGACGAGGGUCCGGUUCUACCGGAGCUACCUCAGCGAGCUGAAGAAGGCCAUCGACGGUGGCGCCAACGUUCUCGGCUACUUCGCGUGGUCUCUCCUCGACAACUUUGAGUGGAUGUCCGGCUACUCGUCCAAGUUCGGCAUCGUCUACGUCGACUUCAACAGCCCCAACCUGGAUCGGCACCCCAAGGCGUCGGCCUACUGGUUCAGAGACCUUCUGCGACACUGAAUAUGGAUGGAGCACCUCUGAAUCAACCAACCUGAUGCUGUCAUCAUCAUCAUGAUCAUGAUCUUGCUGAGUUUCUGCCUACUGUUGUUCGAAUGGAACCAUGAUUCAGACUUCAGAGAUACCAAUUGGAAUUGGAAAUAAUAAAAAGA